GGCGCCGUGCCCAAGUGGUAAGGGAGAGGUCUGCAAAACCUUUAUGCAUCAGUUCGAUUCUGAUCGGCGCCUUCG
rnacentral:tRNA from 1 species